UGUCGACUUGGAGGUUGUGCCCUUGAGGUGUGGCUUCCGGAGCUAACGCGUUAAGUCGACCGCCUGGGGAGUACGGCCGCAAGGUUAAAACUCAAAUGAAUUGACGGGGGCCCGCACAAGCGGUGGAGCAUGUGGUUUAAUUCGAUGCAACGCGAAGAACCUUACCUGGUCUUGACAUCCACGGAAGUUUUCAGAGAUGAGAAUGUGCCUUCGGGAACCGUGAGACAGGUGCUGCAUGGCUGUCGUCAGCUCGUGUUGUGAAAUGUUGGGUUAAGUCCCGCAACGAGCGCAACCCUUAUCCUUUGUUGCCAGCGGUCCGGCCGGGAACUCAAAGGAGACUGCCAGUGAUAAACUGGAGGAAGGUGGGGAUGACGUCAAGUCAUCAUGGCCCUUACGACCAGGGCUACACACGUGCUACAAU
rnacentral:rRNA from 1 species